UCUGAUUUUGAUUUUUUGUUUUAUUUAAAUUUUUUAUGAUAAUAUUUUUAUUUUUACUGGAUGAUAAAACAUAAAUAGUAUUUUAUGCGUGACUAUUUUUUUAUGUUUUUUUACAAAAUUUUCAAAUAAGACGAAUAGUCAAACGUUGGAUACGGAAAAAC
rnacentral:pre_miRNA from 1 species